rnacentral:rRNA from 1 species
AACCUCCGCAAUGUACGAAAGUGCGACGGGGGGAUCCCAAGUGUUAUGCUUUUUUGUAUAACUUUUCAUUAAUGUAAAAAGCUUUUAGAAUAAGAGCUGGGCAAGACCGGUGCCAGCCGCCGCGGUAACACCGGCAGCUCGAGUGGUAGCUGUUUUUAUUGGGCCUAAAGCGUUCGUAGCCGGUUUGAUAAGUCUUUGGUGAAAGCUUGUAGCUUAACUAUAAGAAUUGCUGGAGAUACUAUCAGACUUGAAGUCGGGAGAGGUUAGAGGUACUACCGGGGUAGGGGUGAAAUCCUAUAAUCCUGGGAGGACCACCUGUGGCGAAGGCGUCUAACUGGAACGAUCUUGACGGUGAGUAACGAAAGCCAGGGGCGCGAACCGGAUUAGAUACCCGGGUAGUCCUGGCCGUAAACGAUGUGGACUUGGUGUUGGGGUGGCUUUGAGCUGCUCCAGUGCCGAGGGAGCUGUAAGUCGCCGCCUGGGAGUACGGUCGCAGACUGAAACUUAAAGGAAUU